GCACUCUAAGGGUCAAUCGACGGCCAUUUUGAUCCUACACUAGUAGGAAUACACAAAAUGUCGGCAGGUUUAGUGUUAAACGUACCUGAUUAACCUCCUCGCCACGUCGUAUAACGUCUCAUAAAUAAAUGAAAUUUUCCGUAUUUAAGUUCUAAUUCCUCGGUGCGGUUAACUUCCGAAUUAGAUUGAGAAUCAGAUCCGGAUGUUAAUAGCCAUAUAUUAUAUAAAUUUUUCAGUACAGGAAUACUAAUGGCCCCUUGGAAUAAUUUUCUUAAGAUCAUUUUCACUGAUUUCUCGAACUAAUCGAAUCAGGUCGGAUAUGUUCACAGACAGAGAUUUACGUCGCGUAUGGAACCUUCGCUCGUAUGGAACCGGCACUAGCCUUCACUCAGUCGUUCGUUGCGCUCCUUAGCCGUAAAUGACGUAAUCUGGAAGAGACAAGAGAUAUAAAUCCGCCUGUAAAGCUAUGAAGGUGAUGAAGCUAUAGUGGGGCGCAUGACAAUAGCGGGAGUGGGAGGAUUCACGCCAUAUUCUACGGCUGGCGAUUGGCCAAACAUUGGUGAAAACAUCCAAUCCUCGCAGAGUUCCGCGCCGCUUUCCAGGGUGGGAUUUCUCCACGUAUAAAAAAAAAGAAAAAAGAGAAAGUUAUACUUGAAAAUGAAAUUGAAACAAAAAUCGGUGAAUUCUUAAAUUUAACGAAUAUUUAUUUCUUAGAAAAUGGCGAUCAUUCUUACAGUUCAUUGUCGCAAAGUAAAACAAAUAAAUUGCUUUAUUUUCCAAGCCUCAGCACGGAAUUAGAACUUCACUCAUUAAAUUAUACUUUAUUUAAUUGAGAAAGCUUGUGAGCCUGUUACAAUUCAAUUCAAAAUUAAUUCAUCGACCGUUUGCGCGCUGCUGUUAUUUUCGCCAUAAAUAUCGUUGCUUUCGACACUUGUAUAGCAAUUCCACGUAUAUUUUAGGAAAAAAAAGAAAAAAAAAAUGAAAUUGAGAAGCUUUCUCCAUGUUACUAAAUCUCUAGUGGUUUGGAAUAUGAGUCGGAGAUGAUCGACAGAGAAGACGAGAGAACAAUAUCAUCCUCAUGCAGAGUGAAGAUGUUUGAAGCAUUGGUAGAGAGCGUGGCGCUGUUUGGAGCAGAGGUAUGGGGUUGGAACAUGGAAGAAACGCUGGAUAGGAUGAAAAGGGGGUACGUGAAAUGGAUCUUAGGUUUAGACAGGACAACACCAAACUGCAUACUGACAGAAGAGUGCAAGAUAAAAGAAAUCAAGGAAAACGCAUUAAAAAGAGCAGCAAGGUAUGAGGGGAAAGCCAUAGAGUCAAAAAAGGAAAGAGAAAGAAGGGGCUAGAAGAGAUAACAAACGGAGGGACACAGAUGGAAGCAAGAGAAGAGCAAGAAGAGAUGAGAGUAGACCAAAUUAUAGAGAAAAGAAGAAAGAGAGAAGCAGAGGAGAGGAGAAAAAGGAUAAGGGAAUCAAAAUACGACAAACAUUACAGAAAAAUCGCCAAGGAAGAGUUACCAAAAUACUUAGAAGAGAGGAUGAAGUGAAAGGACAGAAAAAUAUUAGCAAGAUUCGGAUGUGGAAACGAGACUGGAAAGAAGAGGGAGAAGAAAAGAUGCAGGCUAUGUAAAAGGGAAGAAGAAGACCCGAGACACGUAAUAGAAGAAUGCGAAAUAACGGGAGGACCAAAGGACACGGAAAAGAUACUAAACGAGAUUGGAGAAGGACUAAUAGGAUUGAAAAGAAAAGCCCAAAAGUUGCCAUAGUUUUAAAGACAGAAUAUAGAAUGGAGUGCGAUAUAAUAGAAUGGAUAGGAGGGGAGGUAGAUAUGUAAGAAAAGAGAGAUAGACAAGGAAAAGAGUUUAGAUAAAUAUAAGGGAGGAGGCAAUAAGGUGAUGACGCCAUAAGACUGAUAGAAUGUAAAAAGCACAAUAGUUAAUCGAGAUGUAAAAACGGAAGCUCGUCCAAAGCCGAAAGGCACGGACUAAGUAAUAAUGAUAAUAAUAAUAUAUUGUUGAAACGUGUAGAAGAUAUUAGUAAACAGUAUUAUGAUUAUUUUUAUGAUUUCGACGAAACUUUCGGCUAAAAUGGUAAAAGUCCGGAAAAAUAUUAUGCUUAUGAUAAAUCAAUGAUAGUGGUAAAUUACAACGAUAGAGGAAAAUGUGCUGUAGAUUUAUCGGAUCAAAUGAUAGCAUAUUCCACGCCAUCUGGAAGAACUCUCGAGUGAGGUUAGGUUAGUUUUAGAGUUAUUUUUAAAUACAUCAAUUUCAAACGCGAUGAUACUCUAUAAACAGGCAACAAAAACAAAAAUCAAGCCAUCAGAUUUUAGAAUGGCACUCGCAAUAUACCUUACACGGUACCAUUCACCAGAUCCGUCAAAUAUACUUAUUCGACAAAGAUUGCGACACGAAAUGCAAAAGAAAGAAGGGCAAGCGCACCUGGCACGAAAAUUUGGCAGAGAGUGCUAUAAGAAUAGAUAUUAAACAGUUAGGAUCAAAAAUUGAUCGAUGACAACCGGACACUGGCAAGUAGAGGACGUCAAAGCGGUCGUAACUCAUCUAGCAUGGCUCCCUCUACAUUUAAGGCAGCGACUACCGGAUAUAGCAUUACUGACGAGUCCACCGGAAGUCACGGGACGAAACGCGGCGAAUUCAAAUCAACUGGCGACGGCGGCGACUGGCUACGACGAAGAAGCAGCGGAGCAAAGAAAAAAAUGAUAUCGAAUUCCCAAUUCGCUAUAGUUGAAUGGACUCUCGACAUUUAUAAAUAUACGUUCCACAGAUGCAGAAAUUUCCUUUUCAUAAAACAUUGAUCAUCGAAACAACUAACAAGGUGUGGAGAGCUUCUUUAUACAUACAAUGUUGGGACAACAAUGUUAACGCAACUGCUGUACAUAAUCAUCAUGAUCAAAGACAUCUUAGUACAUGGCGUUUAACGAUACAAGAGAUGAAUGGAUAUCUUAAUGCCACAGCAACAAAUACUUAACGAUGUUUGUGGAAAAUGCCCAGAUGUUGCAGUUUAUUGCCCUUGAAAUAUCGACUUUACAAGGAGGAGAAACCAGUAACAAGCCAUGAAUAUCCUACGAUCAUUGUCUUUUGUACAAGCAGUUACAAAAUUAGCAGCCUCUAGAAAAUAUAAAAAUACGUUAUUUAAAGUGAGAAAUAGGGGAAUGUGCAAUAAUACUGCCAACUGGUAUUUUAUUAAAAGGUUCUUAUUCAAAGGUAGUGGGGCGUCAACGCGGCCGUAACACCUCACGGGCGAUCCGGGUACCCAACCGCCAACACCAGAGGGCUACUCUGCGACGACAACCGGUCUGUUCGUCUCGCUAGCGGACGAAUAUACGGGAUCACAAUGCGAGACUCCGUCUGCGUCCAAGGCAGGGUCUACCGGAUGCAGCCUUACUGACGAGUCCAUCGGUAGUUCCGGGACGAAACGCGGCAAAAAAUGAUAUCGGAUUCCCAAUUCGCUAUAGUUGAAUGGACCCUCGACAUUUAUAAGUAUACGUUCCACAGAUGCAGAAAUUUCCUUUUCAUAAAACAUUGAUCAUCGAAACAAUUAACAAGGUGUGGAGAGCUUCUUUAUACAUACAACGUUGGGACAACAAUGUUAACGCAACUGCUGUACGUAAUCAUCAUGAUCAAAGACAUCUUAGUACAUGGCAUUCAACGAUACAAGAGAUGAAUGGAUAUCUUAAUGCCACUGCAACAAAUAUUUAACGAUGUUUGUGGAAAAUGUCCAGAUGUUGUAGUUUAUUGCCCUUGAAAUAUCUUAAGAUCGACUUUACAAGGAGGACAAGCCAGUAACAAGCCAUGAAUCCCAUACGAUCACUGUCUUUUGUACAAGCAGUUACAAAAUUAGCUGCCUCUAGAAAAUAUAAAAAUACGUUAUUUAAAGUGAGAAAUAGGGGAAUGUGCAAUAAUACUGCCAACUGAUAUUUUAUUAAAAGGUUCUUAUUCAAAGGUAGUGGGGCGUCAACGCGGCCGUAACACCUCACGGGCGAUCCGGGUACCCAACCGCCAACACCAGAGGGCUACUCUGUGACGACAACCGGUCUGUUCGUCUCGCUAGCGGACGAAUAUACGGGAUCACAAUGCGUGACUCCGUCUGCGUCCAAGGCAGGGACUACCGGAUGCAGCCUUACUGACGAGUCCACCGGUAGUCCUGGGACGAAACGCAGCGAAUUCAAAUCAACUAGCGGCGGCGACGACUAACUACGACGAAGGAGGAGCGGAGCAAAAUAAAUUAUAGCGGAUUCUCCAUCCGCUAUAUAUCUAUUUAUAAUUUGAAGUUUUAUCAACAAAAUCUCACACAGAACAGCCGUCUACCAUCCAUUUGCGCUAUAUGAACAACGUGAAAUAUGAUUCGUGUUAGAUUUAUUUGUCAUUAAAUUACGUGCAAUGUACCUUCGUGUAAGCAGGAUUACAUUUCUUCGAGAUGUCACGACUGUUCUUAUUUUGUGCUAGAAAAGAAAGGCCACGCUGGAGCAAAAAAUAUUUGAUUUAGCAUCAAGUUUGCAAAGUAAGAUAAAAUUUAUAACGAACGAUUAGAAAGUAGCAGCUGUUUUAAAACUCUAAAUAAAUUCCGUAAUGCAAACAUA